rnacentral:rRNA from 1 species
UCCGUAGGUGAACGUGCGGAGGGAUCAUUACAGAGUUUGCGUGGCAGUCGCUGGUUUUACAAGUGCGCGCCGCGUCUUUCUUUAUCCACCCCCAUCGUGCAUGUCGGCGCGUCUCGUCUCCAGACGGACGCGGUCCUUUUACCACACACCUUUUGUAACCUGCGAACGUAAAAAAUGUAACUAAUGUACAACUAUCAACAACGGAUCUCUUGGCAUCCCACUCGAUGAAGAACGCAGCGAAUUGCGAUAAGUAAUGUGAAUUGCAGAAUUCAGUGAAUCAUCGAAUCUUUGAACGCACCUUGCACCUUCUGGUAUUCCGGAAGGUAUGCCCGGUUGAGUAUUAUGAUCAUCUCAAACCUCUUGCUUCUGAUUGCAAAGGUCGUACGUUCGGCGAACCCGUCUGUAGGGACGGCGGUAGCUGAAGUGCGACUUGGAAGCUUGACGGUAUUGGACUUGAGCGUCGUCGGUCCUCCUUGGAUCGACCCGUUUGAAAUGCAUUAGCUGGCGACCCGCCCUACGGUUCCACUCGGCGUGAUAAGUCUUUCGUCGAGGACGUCUUCAAGACGGCCGAAGGAUGUGGUACAGAGCCGCUUCCAAUCGUCUUUGGACACCUUUUGAACUUUAAUCUCAACUCGGGUAGGACUACCCGCUGAACUUAAGCAUAUCAAUAAGCGGAGGA